rnacentral:rRNA from 1 species
UACGUAGGGUGCAAGCGUUGUCCGGAAUUAUUGGGCGUAAAGAGCUCGUAGGCGGUUCGUCGCGUCGGCUGUGAAAACCCGGAGCUCAACUCCGGGCCUGCAGUCGAUACGGGCGGACUCGAGUUCGGCAGGGGAGACGUGGAAUUCCGAUCGUGUAGCGGUGAAAAUGCGCAGAUAUCAGGAGGAACACCGGUGGCGAAGGCGGGUCUCUGGGCCGAUACUGACGCUGAGGAGCGAAAGCGUGGGGAGCGAACAGG